rnacentral:rRNA from 1 species
GAGUUUGAUCCUGACUCAGAAUCAACGCUGGCGGCGUGCCUAACACAUGCAAGUCGAACGCGAAAGUCCCGCAAGGGAUCAGUAGAGUGGCAAACGGGUGAGUAACACGUGGGUGACCUGCCUUCGAGCGGGGGAUAACGUCCCGAAAGGGACGCUAAUACCGCAUGACAUCCUGCCUUUGAAGAGGUGGAGAUCAAAGCCGGGGAUCGCAAGACCUGGCACUCGAAGAGGGGCCCGCGUCCGAUUAGCUAGUUGGUGGGGUAACGGCUCACCAAGGCAACGAUCGGUAGCCGGCCUGAGAGGGCGGAUGGCCACACUGGGACUGAGACACGGCCCAGACUCCUACGGGAGGCAGCAGUGGGGAAUUGUUCGCAAUGGGCGCAAGCCUGACGACGCAACGCCGCGUGGAGGAUGAAGACCUUCGGGUCGUAAACUCCUUUCGAUCGAGACGAAUUCCCCUGGGGUGAACAUCCCCGGGGGUCGACGGUACCGAGAGAAGAAGCCCCGGCUAACUCC